GAUCAGAAAUGGUACCUUCACUGAACACUGGUUUAAAACUUGGCGUGUGCAUAUUGGUUACAUGUUUGGUUUUCUUGAUGUUUGAACUAGCAAAUGACAAAGGAAAAAGGGUGGAGAUUUCUGACACAGGCUCCUAUAUGGUCAAUUCGCCAAUAAUAAAUAUUUCUGUCAGUGAGGGUGUAGUUUCAGACACAUCAGAGAAAGUGAUUUCAACAUUAACAAUUAAUUCAGAUCAACUGUUCGAGUCAAAAGAUAAGCCAAGUUUAAGUCAUUCGGAACAGAUAUCAAUUAAAAAGAACUUGAUGUUUAUAAAGACCCACAAGUGUGGAACUUCCACUGUAGUUGAUGUUUUUUAUCUUCGUGGAGUCAGAAAAAGGCUCAACUUUGUCGUGGUUCCUUAUGAGCAUGACAUAAACCCUUUAGAAUCCCGGAGCAUGCUACCUCCAAGACCUGGAUCAGUGUACAACAUGCAGUGUCAACACGGAAUUUUCCGACCAGAUGCUGAACACACGAUAAUGCCCAAAGAAACCUCUCUUUACUCUACUAUUGUCAGAUCUCCAGUGUCCCAGUUUCAGUCUGCUUUUAGGUUUUAUAGGGAUGAGUACACAAUGCGAAUGGUAUGUCAUCAAAUGUAAAAGCUUCGUUUUUAGUCCCGAUUUUUAAUCCCGUUCAUCCAAAUUCUCUCUUCAAAAAGGUGGUCAUGUGAAAUUGAUAUUUAAUAUUUUCAUCGUAUUGCAGAAUGUUGGAAUCAACACUUCAAGAGAAGAUAAACGCCUUUAUAGAACAUCUGGACCAAGAGAUGGACUUUGUUAUGAUAACCGACAGAAUGGACGAAAGUCUUAUCAUUCUUAAAGAAUAUCUUAGCUGGAAUAUGACUGACAUUGUGUAUCUAAAUCGUAAUGUCAGCUCAAAGCCAAAAGUGACACUGUCAGAGGAAAUUAAAGCAAAAAUAUUGAAAUAUCAAGUUAUAGAUGCUCAAAUAUUUGAUUAUUUUAACAAAACAUUCGAGCUGCACCUCGAUAGGGUAGGCAGAGAAAAAGUAGCAUCUCAAGUCAACGAGUUUGUAGAAAUGAGGGAAUCUUUUGAAAACAAAUGUUUAAACAAAAAUAAGAUUGUUAGUAAUCCCAAUGCAUCAAUCAAAUGGGAGUUAACAGAGUACGGUAAAAACAUAAAUGUGGCCUGCACAUUUCUACAGAAUAAACCUGCCUUAUUGACUGAAGUCGUUGGACAGCUUCAGCUUUCCCAAGACUAUACCAUCCCUAUCUUCCCUAAAGGACAAGAGCGUUUCUUGAUGCGAGAUAUCGUUUCUAAAAUCCAACGGGACUAUGAUAAUAAUGAGGAUCCAGUGUGAUCGAUCCGGUGAAAUUAAGACAGUUUUGAAACACUGAGACAGUCUGAGUUCUUUAGCUUUGAUCAGUAUCUGAUGAACGGUGCUAGAGCUUCCAAAUGAUACUUUGACAGCUCUAUGUUUUUCAGCAGCUUUACUCCCAAUUCGAAGCGUGGCUUCUCUGCCAAUAUAGUAUAUUUUUAUUUAUUUAUAAUAGUGUGAUGUUUUAGUUGCAACUCAAAUUUAUAAUUCUAGAUAAAGCGGUUUGAGGUUUCGUCAUUAACUAAAAUAAAGAAAUGUGCCUAUACCAUUAUCAAUUAUAUAUGGGGUUUGAUGCCAAACUCUGAAAUUUAGAUGAAGGGGACCAUUUUACGAUUUUUUUAAUUUUUACAAAGGAUAGAAACGAAACAAAGUUCUACUGUUCUGUACAAUUAGAGUUUUUUACUUGAAAAUGUGCAUAUUUACUGGAGCAGGUUUAUGCACAUUGCACCUGAAUUGUUGAGUUUUAUUUUACAUUUUUCAGUUUUAUUUCAAAUUUUUUAUGAUCGCUGCACCGACAACCUGUUGACUGUAUUAAGAUUUUUGAAAGAUGCAAAAUUCACCAUAUUUUGUUGCAUAAAAUCUC